rnacentral:lncRNA from 1 species
GACCUUUGGGAUAGCAUUGAAAAUGUAAAUGAGGAAAAUACCUAAUAAAAAAAAAGAAUUUUUCCUCCUUGGUUGGGUUUAUUCCAAAAUAUUUUAUUUUCUUAAAGGCUAAAAUAUUUACUUGUAAGUCACCUUACCCUCCUCUGUUUUGAUUAUUUCAAGAAAUUACAUUUUCUUUUAUGAUGUUGUAAAUGUGAGUGUAUCGACAAUCUACGUUCACAGAUAUUUUUGUUGGUGUUAGAAAAGCUUUGGAUUUGUGUAAUUUCAUUCAAAUAAAAAAUAAAAAAAGAUAUUUUAUUUAUUUAAAUUUCAAAUGUUAGCCCCUUUCCUCCUUUUCCCUCUGAACUCCCCCCUUCCCAUUCCCCCCCCCUGCCCUGCUCACCAACCGACCCACUUCCAUUUCCCUGUCCUCCAUUCCCCUACAAUGGAGCAUCAAGCCUUCAUAGGACUAAAGGUCUCUUCUCUCAUUGAUGUUUGACAAAGCUGUCCUCUGUUACAUAUGCAGCUGGAGCCAUGGUUCCCUCCGGGUGUACUUUUUGUUUGGUGGAUCAGUUCCCGGGAGUUCUGGGGAUACUGGUUGGUUCAUAUUGUUGUUCCUCUUAUGCAGCUGCAAACCCCUUCUGCUCCUUGGUUACUUUCUCUAGCUCCUUCACUGGGGACCCUGUGCUCCAUCAAAUGAAUGGCUAUGAGCACACACUUCUGUAUCUGUCAGGCACUGGCAAAGCCUCUCAGGAGACAGCCAUAUCAGACUCCUUCCAGCAAGCAUUUGUUUACAUCCACAAUAGUGUCUGGGUUUAGUGACUGUAUAUGAGAUGGAUCCCCAGGUGGUGCAGUCUCUGGAUGGCCUUUCCUUCAGUCUCUGCUCCAUACUUUGUCUCUGUAUUUCCUCCGGUGAAUAUUUUGUUCUCCCUUCUGAGAAGGACAGAAGUAUACACACUUUUGUCUUCUUCUUCUUCUUCAUAUGGUCUAUAAUUUCUUUAAACACACAUACAUUUUUACUUCCCCUCUAUAUAUUUCUCAUGUGUAAUUUCUAUUGCUAAGAUUUCUAGUAAUAUGGGGGAUAAGUUCUCUAAAUAAAGUUACUUCUCAUUUUUUAGACCUUAUAUGUUAAAAAAAAUGUAUUGAUCUUAUACUUCAAAAAGCAGCUCAAUUUCAGUGAUAGAAUCAGAAAUUUGGCCUCCAAAGCCACUUGGGAACAAAUUCAAACUCUACUAGCAGUCUCUGGGACUCAAUUAAAUCACCUGAUUAUCCAUCACUUUCAUCUUGCUCAAAGUGGUCACAUAAGAACUAAUUUAUGCAUUUGGAAAAUGUGUUAUGAAUUUUGUUGUGAUUCUACAAAGCAUACAGGGAGCAUGAGGAUGUACAGAAAGAGAAAAAGUGAUUUAAAAAAUAAACUCAUAUUGCUUAUGAUAAAUGAUGAAAAUGAAAAGUGGAUGUUAGACAUAAAUAGGGAAGAGUGCUACAAAGAUUAAGCAAAUAAAUUAACUAAUUUAAAACAUCAAAUGGAGAAUGUCUGUCAGGUGUAUAAUAAGUGGCCAUUAUAUACGACUUUUUGUGUUCAUUUACAAGAUUUAACAUGAAAUCAUGGUGUUUAUCAUUAUGAAAUGUUAGUCAAAGCAGAAAAUCGUUGAUAUUAUUCAUCUGUCUUGUUUAACAUGAGUAGCUAAAGUUCAAAAAAGAUUAAACACUCAAUUUCAGAUUACAGUUUCUAUUUUCAUUCUUUAAUGUUUCUGUCUUAUCUUAUACAUUUUUAUGUUGACCAUUAAACCAUCAAUCCUGCAAUGCACAUUUGGAACCAGAUAACUCAUCUGAAUUUUGAUACAAAUAUUAAAGCUUAAUUUGAGCAGGAAUGAAAGCAGGAAUUCAGAGACUGAGCCAUUUUGAAGGGAAAUGUUAAGGGAAGAGUGCUAAAACUCCAAUAGGCUAGUAGACCAACAACACAAGGUUCUAGGACAGUGGAAAUUCCCUUCUUUGAGUAAAACAUAAUUUAUAUAAUGUAUCAGUUAAAACUCUAAAAGAUUGGGUAGCUAUUUGAGCAUAUAUUAGUCUUGCCCUUUUCAUGAUAAAUUUUCUCUAGUUUCAGUUGCAUGUGACCAAGUCUGUUCUGAAACCAUUAAGUUAAAAUUUCUGAAAGAAACUAUUUCAUGUCUCUUAAGCCACAGGCUAUAAACAAUUAGCAUGAUGAAAUCUGCCCUGAAAUUCAGUUUGCCAAAGCCAUGAUUCAUCUCUUUGUGCAACAUGUCCUUAGUGUAUAGGCUACACUCUUGGAUUUCAAAUCAACUGUGACAGUACUGUGGUGCAUGCAUUUAAGUAUUUUUCCUUAGGAAUAGCUCUGAGAGCAAGGCCAGUGAUGUUGGAAACAUGACUAUGUCAAGAAAAAAGUCUGUAUUUAUUUUAAGUGAAAAAGAUAAGAGUUCUCAAAUUAAUCAGAAAGAAAUGGCAUCCCUGUAUCAGUCCAGCCAGAGCAAAGUCAAACAGUUCUCUGAGGGGGCAGUGAAGAUAAUUAUAAGACAGACAGAAAAGAAUACUCAGAGACAAAGGACAAAAUUCUGGAGGCCUACCCAAUUAGUAUUGUAGCAGCCUCUAGUUUAAUUAUCUUAAGGUUUGUAUACUUUACAGCAGAGUGGGAAACAACCUCACAAGCUAGUAGAAACAAUGGCUGACAUACCUUCAAAAUCUGUACCCAUCUCGAGGCCUCCCAAUUCUUCCUUGUUGCUUCCUCCAAGAUUCACAAACAUCAGCCCCUUGCCUUGAUCUUCACAUGUAUCCCCUCAUAUUAGUCCAUGCUUCAGCAGACCAGGUACUCUGCCAGCAAGCCUUGACCUAACUUGCCUCUCUUUCUACCUAUCAGGCAGGUUUUCACACAAGUAG